rnacentral:rRNA from 1 species
AUCGAACCCGGAGAUAGCUGGUUCUCCUCGAAAUAGCUUUAGGGCUAGCCUCAUGGAUCAUUGAUGGGGGUAGAGCACUGAAUGUGCGCGGGGGCCACAAAGCCUACCAAACGCUAUCAAACUUCGAAUACCAUACAAUGCAGACCAUGGGAGUCAGUCCGCGAGAGAUAAGUUCCGCGGGCAAAAGGGGAACACCCCAGAUCAACCGCUAAGGUCCCCAAGUUCACGUUAAGUGGAGAAGGAUGUGGAAUUGCACAGACAACCAGGAUGUUGGCUCAGAAGCAGCCACACAUUUAAAGAGUGCGUAAUAGCUCACUGGUCGAGUGAUUGUGCGCCGAAGAUGUCCGGGGCUAAACGUGACACCGAAGCGAUGGGUGCAUCUGAAAGGAUGCGCGGUAGAGGAGCAAUGUGCAGAGGCAGAAGCCGUAUCGAGAGGCACGGUGGACACUGCACAAGAGAGAAUGCCGGUAUGAGUAGCGAGAGGCAUGCGAGAAACAUGCCCGUCGAAAGCCCAAGGUUUCCUGGGGAAGGUUCAUCCGCCCAGGGUAAGUCGGGGCCUAAGCCGAGGACGGAAGUCGUAGGCGAUGGACAGCAGGUGUAGAUUCCUGCACUACCGAUGGAAUGAAGCAGUGACACAGAAGGAUAACUCGAGCAGGGUGAUGGUCAACCCUGUGCAAGCAUCAAGGUUGGGUUGUAGUGAAGUACGCAAUCCUAUAAGCUGAGGUGUGAUGCGGACCGAAAUUUCAGUAGGGAAGCGAGUGAGUUCACGCUGGCGAGAAAAGCUGCUAGUACAUCCAAAGGUACCCGUACCGGAAACCGACGCAGGUGGGCGAGGAGAGAAUCCUGAGACGAACGGGAGAACCCUUGUUAAGGAACUCGGCAAAAUGACCCCGUAACUUCGGGAUAAGGGGUGCCUGCGAGAGCAGGCCGCAGAGAAUAGUCACAAGCGACUGUUUAGCAAAAACACAGGUAUCUGCGAAAGCGAGAGCUGACGUAUAGGUGCUGACACCUGCCCGGUGCUGGAAGGUUAAGGGAACAUGUUAGAGCAAUCGAAGCAUCGAACCGAAGCCCCAGUAAACGGCGGCCGUAACUAUAACGGUCCUAAGGUAGCGAAAUUCCUUGUCGGGUAAGUUCCGACCCGCACGAAUGGUGUAACGACUUGUGAGCUGUCUCAACAGGGGGCCCGGUGAAAUUGAAGUAUGGGUGAAGAUGCCCAUUACCCGCGACUGGACGGAAAGACCCCGUAGAGCUUUACUGCAGCCUGAUAUUGAGUUUCGGUAACUGAUGCACAGGAUAGGUGGGAGUCUGAGAGACAUGGGUUUCGGCUCGUGUGGAGACGCUGUUGGGAUACCACUCUUCGGUUACUGAAAUUCUAACAUAGCUCUGUGAAACCAGAGGAUGGACAGUGUCAGGUGGACAGUUUGACUGGGGCGGUCGCCUCCGAAAGAGUAACGGAGGCGCCCAAAGGUACCCUCAGAAUGGAUGGAAACCAUUCGAAGAGCGCAAAGGCAGAAGGGUGCCUGACUGCGAGAUUGACAAAUCGAGCAGAGACGAAAGUCGGGCUUAGUGAUCCGGCGGUAUUGAGUGGAAAAGCCGUCGCUUAACGGAUAAAAGCUACCUCGGGGAUAACAGGCUGAUCUCCCCCAAGAGUCCACAUCGACGGGGAGGUUUGGCAC